GACAGAGGUGCCAAGCGUUAGGCGGAAUCACUGGGCUUAAAGCGUGUGUAGGCGGAAUGGUAAGUACCUUGUGAAAUCCCAUAGCUCAACUAUGGAACUGCUUGGUAUACUGCUUUUCUUGAGCCACUUAGGGGCUACCGGAACAAAUGGUGGAGCGGUGAAAUGCGUAGAUAUCAUUUGGAACGCCAAUGGUGAAAACAGGUAGCUGGGAGUGUGCUGACGCUGAGACACGAAAGCGUGGGGAGCGAACAGG
rnacentral:rRNA from 1 species